AUACUUACCUGUCAGGAGAGACACCAUGAUCACAAAGGUGAUUUUGCUGGGCAAAGAUUCCCCGUUUUACUCUGGGUGUGCUCAACUCUGCGAUUUCCCUAAAUGUGGGAAACUUGACUGCAUAAAUUGUGGUAGUGGGGGACUGUUUCUAUGGUCUCCCA